UACAGGGGGGGCAAGCGUUGUUCGGAAUUACUGGGCGUAAAGGGCUCGUAGGCGGCCAACUAAGUCCGACGUGAAAUCCCAAGGCUUAACCUUGGAACUGCGUCGGAUACUGGUUGGCUUGAAUUCGGGAGAGGGAUGCAGAAUUCCAGGUGUAGCGGUGAAAUGCGUAGAUAUCUGGAGGAAUACCGGUGGCGAAGGCGGCCUUCUGGACGGAUACUGACGCUGAGACGCGAAAGCGUGGGGAGCUAACAGG
rnacentral:rRNA from 1 species